rnacentral:rRNA from 1 species
GAUGAACGCUAGCGGCAGGCCUAAUACAUGCAAGUCGAGGGGCAGCGCGGUAGCAAUACUAGCGGCGACCGGCGCACGGGUGCGUAACACGUAUGCAACCUACCUUCAACUGGAGGAUAGCCCGGGGAAACUCGGAUUAAUACUCCAUAACACAGGGAUCCCGCAUGGGAAUAUUGUUAAAGCUACGGCGGUUGAAGAUGGGCAUGCGUUCGAUUAGCUAGUUGGUGUAGGUAACGGCUCACCAAGGCUACGAUCGAUAGGGGGUCUGAGAGGAUGAUCCCCCACACUGGUACUGAGAUACGGACCAGACUCCUACGGGAGGCAGCAGUAGGGAAUAUUGGUCAAUGGGCGCAAGCCUGAACCAGCCAUGCCGCGUGCAGGAAGAAGGCCCUCUGGGUUGUAAAACUGCUUUUAAUAGGGAACAAAUGCCACUUGCGAGUGGAGCUGAGUGUACCUAUAAAAUAAGCACCGGCUAAACUCCGUGCCAGCAGCCGCGGUAAU